rnacentral:rRNA from 1 species
CAGUAGCCACGGGAAUACGAAGGGGGCUAGCGUUGCUCGGAAUGACUGGGCGUAAAGGGCGCGUAGGCGGCAUGUACAGUCAGACGUGAAAUUCCUGGGCUUAACCUGGGGGCUGCGUUUGAUACGUGCAGGCUAGAGUGGGGAAGAGGGUUGUGGAAUUCCCAGUGUAGAGGUGAAAUUCGUAGAUAUUGGGAAGAACACCGGCGGCGAAGGCGGCAACCUGGUCCUUGACUGACGCUGAGGCGCGAAAGCGUGGGGAGCAAACAGGAUUAGAUACCCCGGUAGUCCCUGUCUCUUAUAC